rnacentral:pre_miRNA from 1 species
AUUGUACUCCCUCCGUUCAGAAAUACUUGUCAUCAAAAUGGAUAAAAAAAGAUGUAUCUCGAACUAAAAUAUAUCUAGAUACAUCACUUUUUAUUCAUUUUGAUAACAAGUAUUUUCGGACGGAGGGAGUAUAAC